rnacentral:lncRNA from 1 species
GUAUUACAUAAAAGCCGAAACACCCAUCACGAAAUCUCCAAUAACAACAGAACACGAGAUAAAAACCACAAAGAAGCAACUACCCACUUGUAACCGGUGCCUCUAAUGCAGUAGUAGAAGGCAAAUCAGCUCCAUCACCAUCACCAUCGCCAUCGCCAUCGCCAGAAGAAGAAACAAGAGUCCAAUCAGGAGGUAGGGGAGGUAAAGGAGCAUAAACAGUGGGCUUGCGCUUUAUGUCCCAUGGUUGACUCUUUCUUGGCCUUGUUUUCCUGUGAUGUGCAGUUGCCUUCUUCUGUGGCCUUGAAGAACACUCUAUCGACAUCCCACCAUGACCAAAACCAGUGCCUAUUGGGACCGUUUUGAACUCGCCAUUGACAGGCUUGAAAGACGGUGUAGUCGAGGGUUU